rnacentral:rRNA from 1 species
GACAGAGGGUGCAAACGUUGUUCGGAAUUACUGGGCGUAAAGCGCGUGUAGGCUGCUCCGCAAGUCGGGUGUGAAAGCCCUGGGCUCAACCUAGGAAGUGCACUCGAAACUGCAGAGCUGGAGUCCUGGAGAGGAAGGCGGAAUUCUCGGUGUAGAGGUGAAAUUCGUAGAUAUCGAGAGGAACACCGGUGGCGAAGGCGGCCUUCUGGACAGUGACUGACGCUGAGACGGCGAAAGCGUGGGGAGCAAACAGG